rnacentral:rRNA from 1 species
AUGGCCCACAACGAUGAGGCCGGGGGUUCGGGCGGCAAGGCAUUCUGGGAGCUGUCCCAGGAGAUGGAGGAACAACCUCACUUGUAUGAGGCCGCCGCCUUCCCCACCGAUCCUGAGACCACGGAUGGUGCCGCCGAGGAUGACCACACUGAUGCCACCACUGAUGGUGCCGCCGAGGAUGCCACCACUGAUGAUGGCGGCGCACGCACAGAUAGCAGCCAGCCGAAGAGGCAACGGAAGGACCGGCGCCCGAUCGUGCUCCGCACCCUCAAGGAGGAAGUUACUGAAGUGGACUCCAAUGGGAAUCCAACGGCGCCCGAACGAAUAGUCAAGGGGUACUCGCUUCAGCUCGGGUGCAUUGUCCGGAGCACCGUCUCGAUCAACACCGAGAACCUGAGGCAUCCUGACCGGGGGAAUUUGCGCCACCUCCUCUUCACGAAGCUGCACGAACGAUACAAGUUCCCCGCUGAAUUCGAAAACACAAGCCUCAAAGGGAAUAAAGUGAACAAUGCUGCCCUCACGAAGAUGAGCAAGGCCCUGUCUACUUGGAAAAGCAAUGUGAAGAGAAUGAUCGAGAAAGGUGAGAGUUAUGAGAAGAUCAAGGAGAAAAAUCCUUCGAUCACCAAAGAUGACUACAACGACUUCAAGAUCAAUUGCUUGAGCACCGCAAGCUCCCAAUCAAGUGAGUGGGGGAAACAAAUGCGGGAGCUGAACAUAGGGGAACACACACUCGGUCCCGGCGGUUACAGAGUGGCAGAGCCUAUAUGGGACAAGGAGGAGGCGGACCGUGCCGAGCAAGGCCUACCGCCCCUCUUCGAUAAAUACGGUGACAAGCAGACCAGGAACUUUGUCAGGGCCCGGUACAAGAAGGACCCGAAAACAAAGGAGCUUACCACGGAUCCGAAGACCAGGCAGCUUGAGCUUGUUCUGGCGACUGAAAGCAGUAGCGCGGGGUCGACUCAGAGAAACCCUUGGGACACCACUCUAAAUAGGGGGUUGAAUAUAAUGAAGAACAAGGAUAAGCUCAGUAAGCCGACGUCAGCUGGUCGUGUGGCCGGCAAAGGCUUGUCGACAACAUGGGGGUCAUACUAUACCGCUGGUGAGCGGAAGGAGAAAAAGACCAGCUCGGAAAGCCAGGCGCGAGAGGUUCAAGAACUCAAGGCACAGGUGGCGCGGAUUCCGGAGAUUGUCCAAGAUCAAGUGGAACAACGACUCGGAGCGACGAUCACCGCCCUUGUGCCUACCUUGAUCUCGGGGUUGAGUGCGUGGAUUGCGGGCGGCCAACAGGGGCCGCCCCUGAUUCCUAGCUUCACGGCCAGCAACUCGCAUAAUGCGAUGGCGGGGCCAUUGGUGCCUCCGGCGGAGGCGGCAUUGGUGUCUCCGACGCCGGCACGGGAGCUUAAUGCACCCGGGUGUACGCCGGCCGGCACCUCUUCAGCAAGCGGCCGCUCCGUCAACUGCACGCCCGCCGUUGGCGGUGCCUCGACAUUAGCCGAGCUCGACUCCAUCAUCACGGCGCCGCCGACGUUCCGUGCACUCUCCUCCACUUCGUGA